GCCAGGGAGAGGUAGGGAGGAGGUGUGGAGGAGAAAGAGGGGAGAGAUGGAGACUGGUGGGGAUGCGGGAGAGAUGGAAAGACAGAGAUGGGAGAGACACACACGGAGACAGGGUUUGGGGGCCAGGUGGAGAAUAUUGAAGAUAUCACUGUGAAAUCUCUACCACAAAGAUGAGGAAACUGAGGCUCCAUCCAAGAGGGGACAGCACCUGCCCAGGGUCACACAGCAGGUGGUGCCUAGACUGAAAACCAAGCUUGACUCCAGAGCCUGCCUUUUCAUGUGCUCAGCUGGAGGACCACGAUUUCCCAGGGACUCUCAGCCAUCACCCUACCCACCAGUGGACCCAGGGCCUGAAGAGAGGAUGAUGGCAGUAGCCACACUCGUUCCGUGUGCAUUUAUCUGUGCUGCUCAACAUACCCAGGGCUUUUCAAACAACUUUUCCAUGAGCCGAAUAAACGCCUACUGAACACUGACUAAGCCAGGUCCCCUGCUAAGUGCGUUGUGAUUCACUUAGUUCACACAACCACCCCAUGAGGCCUAGCCGGUGUACCUCAGUGGAUUGAGCGUCAACCCAUGUAGCA